UAUGAAUGUUCCACCAUUUUGUUCUUUGGAAACUUGACCAAACAAACUCAAAAAUGUCACUAAAAUAACCUAAUAAACCAACAUUUCAUUCUUUGAAAAUUAAACAAAACACCUUGCAAACUUGAAAAACAUAUUAAAAAACAUCAUCAUACAUAUGGAUUCAAGCAAUAUUUUGCCAUAAAAUGAUGAACAACUUUUGGCUAAGCAUAUUUUGACCAAAUAUAUUUUCAUUCAUUUCACUCAAGCAUGCAUUAAUACUUACUCAUCAAACCAUCAUGUAAGGAAAUUAAAAUCAUAUGAAGAAUUCUACCAACAUAAAGCAAAUUAAAAAUAGCUAAGAAAUCAUAAACCAAUAGAACAUAGACCAAACACUACCAUUUAACCAUCAUAAAUUCAUCAUCUAACCAUCAUAAACAACAUUUUGAAGCAACCAAACAUUAAAAAAGAACCAAGAGAAGGUUUGGCCAUGGUAAAAGAGGUUUGGCCAAACCUCCAACUUGGUUUAAUGGUGGAUUUUGAUUUUUUUUUUUUUGUUACUUGAUUCUUUGGUUUCAAUCCAAACUAUUAUUUAGUUGGAAGAACUUUGAACCAAGAUUAAAUUAAAAAAAAAGCUAUAAACUUUCAAGAAAAAAAAAUAGAAAACUAAUAUGAAAAUGUUGUGAAAAUGUGAUGAGAAUGUAAUGAAAGUGUAAGAAAAAAAUUUUUCUACCUCCAUCCACGUUUUCUUAAACUUUCCUAUUUUUUCUUUUUUUUUUGUUUGAUUUUCUCCCCUGUUUUUUUGUUUCCAG
rnacentral:lncRNA from 1 species